GACGAACGCUGGCGGCGUGCCUAAUACAUGCAAGUAGAACGCUUAAGGAGGAGCUUGCUUCUCUGUAUGAGUUGCGAACGGGUGAGUAACGCGUAGGUAACCUUCCUGGUAGCGGGGGAUAACUAUUGGAAACGAUAGCUAAUACCGCAUACUUGCAGUUGUUGCAUGACAAUUUUUUGACAGCUGCAAUUGCACUACUACCAGAUGGACCUGCGUUGUAGUAGCUAGUUGGUGGGGUAACGGCUCACCAAGGCGACGAUACAUAGCCGACCUGAGGUGGUGAUCGGCCACACUGGGACUGAGACAAGGCCCAGACUCCUACGGGAGGGAGCAGGAGGGAAUCGUCGGAAAUGGACGGAAGUCUGACCGAGCAAAGCCGCGUGAGGGAAGAAGGUUUUCGGAUCGUAAAGCUCUGUUGUAAGAGAAGAACGAGUGUGAGAGUGGAAAGUUCACACUGUGACGGUAUCUUACCAGAAAGGGACGGCUAACUACGUG
rnacentral:rRNA from 1 species